AAGUUCAGCGCUCCAUGCUUGCGCCUGCGCGUGUGGUUGAGGAUGGGCUGGCGGCACGUCCGGGUCUGCUGGCUGGCGCUGCAGGCUGCGGGCCAUGGUGGUUUGGAUUGAGCGGUACCCGGCCGGGGCACCGAGUCGGAGGGGGUGGCAGUGAGCGGCGGCAGAGGCUGCGGGGCUCGGUUUGGCUGACUGGGGAGUCGGCAGGCGGCAGGAAACAUGCGAGGCCAGCGGAGCCUGCUGCUGGGCCCGGCCCGCCUCUGCCUCCGCCUGCUUCUGCUGCUGGGCUACAGGCGCCGCUGUCCACCUCUGCUCCGGGGUCUAGUACAGCGCUGGCGCUACGGCAAGGUCUGCCUGCGCUCCCUGCUCUACAACUCCUUUGGGGGCAGUGACACCGCUGUCGAUGCUGCCUUUGAGCCCGUCUACUGGCUGGUAGACAAUGUGAUCCGCUGGUUUGGAGUGGUGUUCGUAGUCCUGGUGAUCGUGCUGACAGGCUCCAUUGUGGCUAUCGCCUACCUAUGUGUCCUGCCUCUCAUCCUCCGAACCUACUCAGUGCCACGACUCUGCUGGCAUUUCUUCUAUAGCCACUGGAAUCUGAUCCUGAUUGUCUUCCACUACUACCAGGCCAUCACCACUCCGCCUGGGUACCCACCCCAGGGCAGGAAUGAUAUCGCCACAGUCUCCAUCUGUAAGAAGUGCAUUUACCCCAAGCCAGCCCGAACACACCACUGCAGCAUCUGCAACAGGUGUGUGCUGAAGAUGGAUCACCACUGCCCCUGGCUAAACAAUUGUGUGGGCCACUAUAACCAUCGAUACUUCUUCUCGUUCUGCUUUUUCAUGACUCUGGGCUGUGUCUACUGCAGCUAUGGAAGUUGGGACCUUUUCCGGGAGGCUUAUGCUGCCAUUGAGAAAAUGAAACAGCUCGACAAGAACAAACUACAGGCGGUUGCCAACCAGACUUAUCACCAGACUCCACCACCCAUCUUCUCCUUUCGAGAAAGGAUGACUCACAAGAGUCUUGUCUACCUCUGGUUCCUGUGCAGUCUUCGCCCCUCUUUUCUUAGUUCUGUGGCACUUGCCCUGGGUGCCCUAACUGUAUGGCAUGCUGUUCUCAUCAGUCGAGGUGAGACUAGCAUCGAAAGGCACAUCAACAAGAAGGAGAGACGUCGGCUACAGGCCAAGGGCAGAGUAUUUAGGAAUCCUUACAACUACGGCUGCUUGGACAACUGGAAGGUAUUCCUGGGUGUGGACACAGGAAGGCAUUGGCUUACUCGGGUGCUCUUACCUUCUAGUCACCUGCCCCAUGGGAAUGGAAUGAGCUGGGAGCCCCCUCCCUGGGUGACUGCUCACUCAGCCUCUGUGAUGGCAGUGUGAGCUAGACUGUGUCAGCCACGACUUGAGUACUCAUUCUGCUUCCUAUGUUAUUUCAAGGGCCUCCAAGGGCAACUUUUCUUGGAAUCCUUGAUCAAAAAGAGCCAGUGGGCCUGCCUUAGGGUACCAUGCAGGACAAUUCAAGGACCAGCCUUUUUGCCACUGCAGAAGACAGACACAAUGUGGAGAAAUCUUAGGACUGACAUCCCUUUACUCAGGCAAACAGAAGUUCCAACCCCAGACUAGGGGUCAGGCAGCUAGCUACCUACCUUGCCCAGUGCUGACCAGGACCUCCUCCAGGAUACAGCACCGGAGUUGGUCACCACCUCUCCUACUUGCUGUCUGAAAAAACACCUGACUAGCACAGCUGAGAUCUUGGCUUCUCAACAGGGCAAAGAUACCAGACCUGCUGCUGAGGUCACUGCCACUUCUCACAUGCUGCUGAAGGGAACAAAAAUAAAGACUCUACUCCAACUCCUUACCCAGAGAAGAAGAGUGAAGGCCUGACUACGACAGGGCCCAGAGCCCAGGCCAGCCUCCACUUUGUCCACAGCCAGCUGUAGGAAUUCAUCCAGCUGUUGUCCUAAAAAGGAGAGGAAAUGGUGACAUAAAGGUGACAUUUGCCCUUUAACAAUGAAGGAUGCAAAUCACUUAAGUGCAGAGCUCCCUGAGAAGCUGUUAGAAAGGGAAACAUACCAUUUUUGCCUGUGGACAAAAUGAUUGGACACCUGCGUAAGAGCCUGGUAUUGUCAUAAUACAGAGGUGCUGCCAUUUGAAAAGAGAGGGUUGUCACUAGCCCCACUGUAGGGAGUAGGAUGGCAGAACUAGAUUCUUUGUGCUCCCUUCUCUUCUUAGGUACUAUAAAGCUCUGCCCAACUGUGGUCUUGAGGCUUUUCCCAUGGGCAGUCCCAGGACAGUGCUUGAGCAGUUGAAGCCCUAUUAAUGUUAUUAGCAAGCUCCUUUUAAAAAGAGAAUGAGCACUGAGCUAUAAGAUUUCACGGGUAGUUGAUUGUGGGAGGCUCCUUACAGUGUCUGAUCUCAGUACCUGCAGGGUGCUUGUUGAGGAGUCCUGCAAAGCACUUGGCAGCAGCGGUAGAAGAAAAGGGGCAGCUGUGGCAGCAGCUCAGUUCCAAAAGCUCCCGCAUGAGUUGGUUCAGCUGAGGGAUUUCCACCUACAGAAAACCUGGCCAUGUAAUGGACCCAGAGAACACCUGAACUCCAAGAGAACCAGUACACAGUGGCAGCAGGGACCGGGAUGGAUAAGAACUAACUUCUCUGGUGGGGGAAG